rnacentral:ncRNA from 11 species
UUCUUAUCGAGAGCGGCGGAGGGACUGGCCCGAUGAAGCCCGGCAACCGUCUUGCGGGGAGGCGUCUCCUCACCCGGGGCAUGAGGUGGAACCCGGAUAAGAGAACUUCCCCGCGGGAUCUGGUGCCAAUUCCUGCGGAACGCGCUGAAUGCGAUGAACGCGGUGAACGCGGGUGACACGCGCGUAGUCGUUCCGAGAGAUAAGAA